UUGAGCAUGCACUUGAUAGGAUUCUGCAGUCUCACUAUUAAAAUUAUUUAACAUGCAAACCACUUUUGUUACCACACAUUUUUCACAACCCAUGUCAACUUUGUUAAGGCUAGGUUACACAAUAUGAGUUACUAAUGACAGUAGACAGCUAUAGCACUUAUGUACUAACAUGGCAGUAAAAACAAAAAAAAAUGUAGUAACGCAGAUGCAAGAUACUGAAUGACUCACACAAGACAGUAAUUUGAAUUAUGCAGUCACACAAUGUGAAUAGCUGCACUUCAGUAACUGAAUAGGCCAGUUCGGGUGUUAUCUCACACUAUGUAAUCGGGUAUUUAUCCAUGAAAACAAAAAAAUU